rnacentral:rRNA from 1 species
AUUGAACGCUGGCGGCAGGCCUAACACAUGCAAGUCGAGCGAGCGGCGGACGGGUGAGUAAUGCCUGGGAAUUGCCCAGUCGAGGGGGAUAACAGUUGGAAACGACUGCUAAUACCGCAUACGAUUGGAUUGCCCAGGUGGGAUUAGCUAGUUGGUGAGGUAAUGGCUCACCAAGGCGACGAUCCCUAGCUGGUCUGAGAGGAUGAUCAGCCACACUGGAACUGAGACACGGUCCAGACUCCUACGGGAGGCAGCAGUGGGGAAUAUUGCACAAUGGGCGCAAGCCUGAUGCAGCCAUGCCGCGUGUGUGAAGAAGGCCUUCGGGUUGUAAAGCACUUUCAGCGGGGAGGCGUUACCCGCAGAAGAAGCACCGGCUAACUCCGUGCCAGCAGCCGCGGUAAUUC